CCCUAUGGGGUGCAGCAGGCUACGUAGGGGACCACUUCGGGUGGAGAAGCGCGUUUUGGGUCUUCGGCUUCGCUGGCAUCGCAGUCGCUGGGAUCAUUCAACGGCGCCUACGUGAGGCUUCGCCAGUUAGCCAAUCUGGCUCAAGCCGUCCUUCCGCUGCCUUGGUCGUGCGCACAAUUGCCGGCAGACCGACAGCUAUUCUGUUGGCGUUCGGGUUGGCGGGCGCCGUAUUUGUGAACAUCGGCUACCUGACGUGGAUGCCGACAUAUCUGCAUGAACGCUUCCAUCUCUCGUUGGCAAACGCGGGCUUUUCCAGCAUGUUCUGGCACUACAUGCCGGCCUUCUUCGGCGUGCUGGCGGGAGAGC
rnacentral:rRNA from 1 species